GAUGUGGCUGCAUAGGCUAUGACUGAUUGCAGUUAACAAAAUGUGUGCUGAUCUGGGAACAGGAGGCCUGGGCUCCGGAGCUGGAAGGGACCUCAGAGGCCAAGCACCCCACCUCAGGAAACCCAAGCCCAGGGUGAUCUUCCCAAGAGUUUUCCACAACAUAAUGAACGGAGGGGUACACAGCCUCAUAGCGAUAGAGGUAGAGGAGAGUCAGAAGAUCUGCUUUCCAAACUCUGGUC